UACGUAGGGGGCAAGCGUUGUCCGGAUUUAUUGGGCGUAAAGAGCGUGUAGGCGGCCAGACAGGUCCGUUGUGAAAACUCGAGGCUCAACCUCGAGAUGUCGAUGGAAACCGUCUGGCUAGAGUCCGGAAGAGGAGUGUGGAAUUCCUGGUGUAGCGGUGAAAUGCGCAGAUAUCAGGAGGAACACCGAUGGCGAAGGCAGGUCUCUGGGCCACUACUGACGCUGAGAAGCGAAAGCAUGGGGAGCGAACAGG
rnacentral:rRNA from 1 species